AGUGAACGCUGGCGGUAGGCCUAACACAUGUCAGUCGAACGGCAGCACAGUAAGAGCUUGCUCUUACGGGUGGCGAGUGGCGGACGGGUGAGGAAUACAUCGGAAUCUACUUUUUCGUGGGGGAUAACGUAGGGAGACUUACGCUAAUACCGCAUACGACCUACGGGUGAAAGCAGGGGAUCUUCGGACCUUGCGCGAUUGAAUGAGCCGAUGUCGGAUUAGCUAGUUGGCGGGGUAAAGGCCCACCAAGGCGACGAUCCGUAGCUGGUCUGAGAGGAUGAUCAGCCACACUGGAACUGAGACACGGUCCAGACUCCUACGGGAGGCAGCAGUGGGGAAUAUUGGACAAUGGGCGCAAGCCUGAUCCAGCCAUACCGCGUGGGUGAAGAAGGCCUUCGGGUUGUAAAGCCCUUUUGUUGGGAAAGAAAAGCAGCAGGUUAAUACCCCGCUGUUCUGACGGUACCCAAAGAAUAAGCACCGGCUAACUUCGUG
rnacentral:rRNA from 1 species